UUAUAUGUAAUAAUUAUAUAUAUAAUUCUCUAAAAAUCUCUAAAAUUGACUACUUUCUUAUUAUUUCUCUAAGCAAAAUAUCUGUUGCCUCCGAUUUUGGUUGACUAACAACUGACAUUUGCUUAAUGCUCCCGGUGUUUUUAUCCCAUAGCAAUUAACUCCAUUACUGCCUCUUUCCACUGAUAAAGUCCUCCCCACUCUUUCUUGUUUUUACUCCAAGAAUAGCUGUCACAGACAUUGUCUUCUUAAAAUCGUCAUGGAAAUUAUGUAUGUGUGGGUCUAUGUGUGUGAAUGUUGGCUAACGGGGGAAAAUGUUAAGAAACACCUGCCCAUAGAAACAGAGCAACCCAUGUAAUUCUUUCUCCAGGAGCUGUUAUCAAUUUCAAAAAAAAAAUUCCUUUAAACAUCGAAUAUUCAUAAAAAUGCAAGUGAUUUUUCCACUAAUAAUAAAAAUGGUAAUAAAUACUCCAUAUUUGACAUUAUCUUGUUGAACACACACCUUCUUCAUGUUUUAUUUUCUUUGACACAAUAGCCCCAGGAGAGAAGUGAAGCAAGCAUUAAUUCAUUUUUCAAAAUGAUUUUAAUAAAUAUAUCCAUAUAUAGGUCCUGUAAUAUACUUGUUCUUUCUACUGUUUGC
rnacentral:lncRNA from 10 species